CGGGGCGUAGCGCAGCUUGGUAGCGCGCCUGCUUUGGGAGCAGGAUGUCGGAGGUUCAAAUCCUCUCGCCCCGACCA
rnacentral:tRNA from 1 species